rnacentral:rRNA from 1 species
UACAGAGGGUGCGAGCGUUAAUCGGAAUUGCUGGGCGUAAAGCGCACGUAGGCGGCUUUGCAAGUCGGGUGUGAAAUCCCCGGGCUCAACCUGGGAACUGCAUUCGAGACUGCAUUGCUCGAGUAUGGGAGAGGGAAGUGGAAUUUCCGGUGUAGCGGUGAAAUGCGUAGAUAUCGGAAGGAACAUCAGUGGCGAAGGCGACUUCCUGGACCAAUACUGACGCUCAGGUGCGAAAGCGUGGGGAGCAAACAGG